rnacentral:rRNA from 1 species
AGGGUCUAUGGAGGAUGCCUUGGCGCUGAGCGGCGAUGAAGGACGCGACUACCUGCGAUAAGCUUCGGGGAGGCGGUUAGUAGCCUUUGAUCCGGAGAUUUCCGAAUGGGGAAACCCACCCUUCGGGGUAUCAUGCACUGAAUACAUAGGUGUAUGAGGCGAACGUGGUGAAUUGAAACAUCUCAGUAACCACAGGAAAAGAAAUCUAUGAGAUUCCCUGAGUAGCGGCGAGCGAAACGGGAAAAGCCCAAACCAGGCAGCUUGCUGUCUGGGGUUGUGGGACCGCAAUGUGAUACGAGGAUGAGUAGCUGAAGGCUCUGGAAAGUGCCGCCAUAGUGGGUGAUAGCCCCGUAAGCGAAACUCUGAAUCGGUCUAGCGGUAUCCCGAGUAGGACGGGGCACGUGAAACCCUGUUUGAAUCUGGGGGGACCACCCUCCAAGGCUAAAUACGUCUCAGCGACCGAUAGUGAACCAGUACCGUGAGGGAAAGGUGAAAAGCACCCCGAUGAGGGGAGUGAAAUAGACCUGAAACCAUAGACCUACAAGCAGUCGAAGCACUAUGUUUACAAGUGUGACGGCGUACCUUUUGUAUAAUGGGCCAACGACUUAUGCCUCAGUGGCAAGGUUAAGCUUUAAAGUGGAGCCGUAGCGAAAGCGAGUCUGAAUAGGGCGUUUAGUCACUGGGGAUAGACCCGAAGCCGAGUGAGCUAUCCAUGGACAGGUUGAAGGUGCGGUAACACGCACUGGAGGACCGAACCCACGUCGGCUGAAGACGACAGGGAUGAUCUGUGGAUAGGGGUGAAAGGCUAAUCAAACUCGGAGAUAGCUGGUUCUCUCCGAAAGCUAUUUAGGUAGCGCCUCAUGUAUUACCACCGGGGGUAGAGCACUGAAUGGGCUAGGGGGUCGCGAGACUUACCAAACCCAAUCAAACUCCGAAUACCGGUGAGUACAGCAUGGGAGACAGACGGCGGGUGCUAACGUCCGUCGUCAAGAGGGAUAAAAACCCAGACCAUCAGCUAAGGUCCCCAAGUAUAUGCUAAGUGGGAAAGGAUGUGGGAAGGCAAUGACAGCCAGGAGGUUAGCUUAGAAGCAGCUAUCCUUUAAAGAAAGCGUAACAGCUCACUGGUCGAGUCGGCCUGCGCCGAAGAUUUAACGGGGCUAAGCAUAUCACCGAAGCUAUGGGUGCAAGCUUUGCUUGCGCGGUAGGAGAGCGUUCCGUAAGCCUGUGAAGCCGUACUGUAAGGAGCGGUGGAGGUAUCGGAAGUGAGAAUGUUGGCAUAAGUAGCGAUAAAAUGGGUGAAAAACCCAUUCACCGUAAGCCCAAGGUUUCCUGCACUAUGCUAAUCAGGGCAGGGUUAGUCGGCCCCUAAGGCGAGGCAGAAAUGCGUAGCCGAUGGGAAACAGGUUAAUAUUCCUGUACCGGCUUUGGAUGCGAUGGGGGGACGGAGACAGGUAGCUGAUCCGGGCGUUGGUUGUCCCGGUACAAGCAUGUAGGCGGAGAGUUUUGGCAAAUCCGGACUCUCAUUCAACGCCGAGAUGUGAUGUGGGGUUCUUACUUCGGUUUGAACGAACUCAGUAAUCCUAUGCUUCCAAGAAAAGCCUCUAAGCUUCAGUCCAAAGCUGACCGUACCGUAAACCGACACAGGUGGGCGAGGCGAGAAGCCUCAGGUGCUUGAGAUAACUCUGGUUAAGGAACUCGGCAAAUUGGCCCCGUAACUUCGGGAGAAGGGGUGCCCUUUGUAUGUGUAGCGAUUCGCUCGUGAAGCAGAAGAGGGUUGCAGUGACCAGGGGGUAGCGACUGUUUACUAAAAACACAGCACUCUGCGAAGCCGUAAGGCGAAGUAUAGGGUGUGACGCCUGCCCGGUGCCGGAAGGUUAAGAGGUGGGGUUAGCCGCAAGGCGAAGCUCUGAAUCGAAGCCCCGGUAAACGGCGGCCGUAACUAUAACGGUCCUAAGGUAGCGAAAUUCCUUGUCGGGUAAGUUCCGACCUGCACGAAUGGCGUAACGACUUCCCCACUGUCUCAACCAGAGACUCAGCGAAAUUGAAUUAUCGGUGAAGAUGCCGAUUACCCGCGGCAAGACGGAAAGACCCCGUGAACCUUUACUACAGCUUGGCAGUGACGUUCGGGACAGCAUGUGUAGGAUAGGUGGGAGACUGUGAAGCUGGCACGCUAGUGUCGGUGGAGUCAACCUUGAAAUACCACCCUUGUUCUUCUGGACGUCUAACCUCGGCCCGUAAUCCGGGUCAGGGACACUGCCUGGUGGGUAGUUUGACUGGGGCGGUCGCCUCCCAAAGAGUAACGGAGGCGCGCGAAGGUUCCCUCAGGCUGAUUGGAAACCAGCCGUAGAGUGCAAAGGCAUAAGGGAGCUUGACUGCAAGACAUACACGUCGAGCAGGUGCGAAAGCAGGUCUUAGUGAUCCGGCGGUUCCGAGUGGAAGGGCCGUCGCUCAACGGAUAAAAGGUACUCCGGGGAUAACAGGCUUAUCUCCCCCAAGAGUUCACAUCGACGGGGAGGUUUGGCACCUCGAUGUCGGCUCAUCGCAUCCUGGGGCUGAAGUAGGUCCCAAGGGUUUGGCUGUUCGCCAAUUAAAGCGGUACGCGAGCUGGGUUUAAAACGUCGUGAGACAGUUUGGUCCCUAUCUGCCGUGGGCGUAGGAGAUUUGAGAGGAUCUGUCCUUAGUACGAGAGGACCGGGAUGGACGAACCACUAGUGUUCCUGUUGUCACGCCAGUGGCAAUGGCAGGGUAGCUAUGUUCGGAAAGGAUAACCGCUGAAAGCAUCUAAGCGGGAAGCCCCCCUCAAGACGAGAUCUCCCUGGGAGCAAUCCCCUAAAGGUCCGUCGGAGACGACGACGUUGAUAGGCCGGGUGUGUAAGCACGGCAACGUGUUCAGCUAACCGGUACUAAUUGACCGUGAGGCUUGACC